GACGAACGCUGGCGGCGUGCCUAAUACAUGCAAGUAGAACGCUGAAGCUUGGUGCUUGCACCGAGCGGAAGAGUUGCGAACGGGUGAGUAACGCGUAGGUAACCUGCCUGGUAGCGGGGGAUAACUAUUGGAAACGAUAGCUAAUACCGCAUGAUAUUGAUUAUUGCAUGAUAGUCAAUUAAAAGGUGCAAUUGCAUCACUACCAGAUGGACCUGCGUUGUAUUAGCUAGUUGGUGAGGUAACGGCUCACCAAGGCAACGAUACAUAGCCGACCUGAGAGGGUGAUCGGCCACACUGGGACUGAGACACGGCCCAGACUCCUACGGGAGGCAGCAGUAGGGAAUCUUCGGCAAUGGACGGAAGUCUGACCGAGCAACGCCGCGUGAGUGAAGAAGGUUUUCGGAUCGUAAAGCUCUGUUGUAAGAGAAGAACGAGUGUGAGAGUGGAAAGUUCACACUGUGACGGUAUCUUACCAGAAAGGGACGGCUAACUACGUGCCAGCAGCCGCGGUAAUACGUAGGUCCCGAGCGUUGUCCGGAUUUAUUGGGCGUAAAGCGAGCGCAGGCGGUUAGAUAGGUCUGAAGUUAAAGGCUGUGGCUUAACCAUAGUACGCUUUGGAAACUGUUUAACUUGAGUGCAAGAGGGGAGAGUGGAAUUCCAUGUGUAGCGGUGAAAUGCGUAGAUAUAUGGAGGAACACCGGUGGCGAAAGCGGCUCUCUGGCUUGUAACUGACGCUGAGGCUCGAAAGCGUGGGGAGCAAACAGG
rnacentral:rRNA from 1 species